UAGGACUGUCUCAAUCCAUAUGAACCUACCUAGAUUUUAAGAUUAUCAUCCCAGGCUCUGCUCUGUGGUUUAUAUUUAAAUCAGACCUGUUGGAUAGAUGAAGAAUAUUCCCUGAGUUUCUCCUUCUGUCACCCAUGCCAACUGCUUCAAGAAUCACUUGCUCUGCAUUUCAAUAACCAGAGAUGAAUGGAGGGAGAAGAGAUCAUCAGGUCAGAAGCCUCUGUGCUGCAAAAGCAUCAAUGGUCCCAUUCCAAAAAUGCACAAAGGCCAUUUUCCUUGCUAUUCAGACACAGGGACAUCUCUUCAUAAAGUAAUGUCUUGGUCAA